GCAGUAGUAAUCUGAGAAAAAUCAAACAGGUUCAGGUUCAUUUAUUCAUAACCUGAAAUCACUCCAUCUGCACUGCACUUCUUUUUGAUGAUGCACUUUUUUUAUGCUUCCCUUUUCUUUGCCUUUGACUGUUUUGAUUCCUGUUAUUUGGAGAAAGAUGAUUGGUUAUAACUAAAAGAUAAAAAGAGGAAGCAAGUAAAGGAUGUUGCAGUGCUUCUAACCCACCAGAGCACCAGGUGAUAUCAGUCCUCCACAGCAACAAGGAAAGGUAAGAUGACUUUUCUGUCUCCUGGCUCGUAUUUUCCUAUACAGUUAAUGAUAUUGAAAUUUCAUUUAUCAGAUGAAAUUGUGUAAUUUUGCAAUCUUGUGUACUCACGUUUUUUCUUGAUAUAAGAGUCGUAUUGAGAUGUUAAAGGAAUAACACAGAUUAGUGGCACUCUGCACAUGAUCCUACCCUACAGUAAUAUAAGAGUUACCAAACACUAAUGUACAAUAUUGCAAUGUGAUGUUAAAACGUAUAUGAUAUGUUGAUUUUGUUUCUGGAUGCUGUUUUUUUAUUUUUAUUUGAAUGCACAGCAUAUUCAUUAUUUUAAAUGAUUUGUUGAGUGUAUCCUUUUUAAAAUAUGUUAGCUAAUCAGUAUUGCCUUCUCUGUCUGUGUAGGUUCGGAGUCAUCCAGGUCAGUGCAGCGGAAGUACCUUCAAUUAAAGAUAAAAUGAGAUUCAUUGUCUUGAUCACCAUCAUCGUCACUGUAGCCCUUAUUGAUGGGGGCAGCAGCAUGACCGCGGGGCCUUCAUCACCGUGUCAGGACAAAAGUCCCAAAAGUCAUUAUGAAGAAUUUGUAAGCAGACACAUCCUUCAAGAGGAAUUUGACAGAAAUUCCCUAGAUGCUUGGAAAAGGUAUUUGAAAAAAGAACACCUCUGGUGCAGAACUACAGUGCAAUCGUUCCUCAAUAAAAGUGAUCUGGAGACCGUGAACAGAAUCUGCAGCAAAGACGGGCGACGCUUAAGCAAGACGGAUAACUAUGCAGGGAACUUGUGCAUCAGCAACUCAGAAAUGCUGAUAUAUGACAUCGCAUCCAGGAAAAGGAACAAGGAUUGUAAAAUUAAAAUUGGUGCAAAGAAAAGGGUUGUGAUUGUGGCAUGCGACAAGGUUGGAAACCAAUGUCUCCCUGUUCAUUUUCAGAAAUAUGAACACCAGAGAGCAAGCAAUAUACCCUGCAGUCCUGCAAGGAAUUUCGGUAUUGUGGUAGAAUAGCUUUCCACUGAUUAAUUUCUAAAUUCAGCAACUUUGCAUCGUGUUAGUGCUUUAACCCUUUAUUUACCAAGUAGUAACUUAUUUGGUAAUUUUGUCUGUAAAGGGGUCUUAAAUCAUACUAUAUGUGAAUGCUUUUGCCAUUCUUUUUUUUCAGAAUAACCUCAACUUUCAAUAUCUGGCAGUCAUUCUACAUCACUGUAUUGUUAUGGCAAUGCAACAACAGUUUACGUGGGGAAAAAAUAAAUUAAAAAAGGAUCAGAUUUCGAGUUAAGUGAUAUUCAACACGAACAAAAUGUAACACAACAUCAAGUUUAAAUAUGAACUGUACUAAAUAUAAUGUAUAAAAAAGUGUUUACACCUAGAUCACUUCCCUCAAGCUCAAAGAGUUGAUGAGUUACAGUAGUACAAAGCUCACGUGAUAAAUUCUAGGCAGAGUUGAGUUUUCUUUCUGUGUUCAGAUAGCAUUAGCAUUAGCAUCAGCUUGUCUUUUUUUGAAACCAUUCACAUUUUUCCCUAGCAUAAACGACGAGAUAGUUACAGUCAUUUAAACAGAGCUUGGAAAAUGGGCCUGUCAGCUGGCUAAUGGUGAAUAAAGGGUUAAUGAAUUUUUCUUUAGUUUUCUUUUGAUACAUUAUUGAAAAAAGAAUCAUAGAGAGUUUGAAAACAAAUGCAGCAUCCAAAUUUCUAGUAUUUAAUCUGUGUAAGAAACAUCUGUUUAAUGAGUACUUCUAACUAGCUGUAUAAUAUUUGGAUUUUAGAACUACUUAGUUUGUAGUUGUGUUUUUGAUAGUAAGACCACUCCCACUUGUAUCAUUCAAAAUAAAAACUGAUGUUUUUUUUAUUUGUAUCCACAAAAACAGAAUGGUGUAACCUUGUUCCUGUUUAUUAGAUAAAGUAGUGUAGC
ensembl:lncRNA